GCUGAUAGGAACACUCCUUUGCUCCCUGACACACAUCGUGAGAAGUGAAUUGACAUUACCCACUGAAUUGGACUGACUCUAACCUCGACUCUGUGCCCAGAUUACAGCUCCUUCCCUGCCGGCACCUUUUCACCCAGACUAGUGGUUCUCACACCUCAGGGCACACCAGAACCACUACUGUAACUCGCCGAACCUGCACGCCUUGCGCCUCCGCACCGUAGCUCAAUUGCUGGAUCAUCGAGGAGAAAUGGAUAAGUUCCUAGAAACAAGUAAACCACUGAAACUGAAACAGGAAGAAAUAGAAAACUUGAACAGACUGAUAACCAGCAAAGAAAUUGAACCAG